AUUGAACGCUGGCGGCAGGCCUACCACCUGCAAGUCGAACGAGCGGCGGACGGGUGAGUAAUGUCUGGGAAACUGCCCGAUGGCGGGGUAUAACUACUGGAAACGUUAGCUAAUACCGCAUCCCAUCAGAUGUGCCCAGAUGGGAGUAGCUAGUAGGUGGGGUAACGGCUCACCUAGUCGACGAUCCCUAGCUGGUCUGAGAGGAUGACCAGCCACCCUGGAACUGAGACACGGUCCAGACUCCGACGGGAGGCAGCAGUGGGGAAUAUUGCACAAUGGGCGCAAGCCUGAUGCAGCCAUGCCGCGUGUAUGAAGAAGGCCUUCGGGUUGUAAAGUACUGUCAGCGAGGAGGCGUUACGCGCAGAAGAAGCACCGGCUAACACCGAGCCAGCAGCCGCGGUAAUUC
rnacentral:rRNA from 1 species